AUUUUAAUGAUUUGGAUUCUUGCACUUCACUUGGUGGAAUUAAUAUUAGAAUGUUAAUAUUAAUUCCACCAAGUGAAGUGCAAGAAUCCAAAUCAUUGAAGUCCACCUU
rnacentral:miRNA from 1 species